rnacentral:lncRNA from 1 species
UUUACUUUAAAUUAAUUAAUUUCUCUUUAAAAAAAUAAUAAAAAUCCAGUUCUCUCUUCUCUCUCAUCCUUUCAUCUCCAACCUAAACAACAACCUUUCUCUCUACAAUUUGCUAAGGUUCUUCUCCCAAACUUCUUUCUCAACUUCUUUGUUGGUUCAACCCCUCUCUCUUCCAUUUAUUUUUCUCUCAAACUCAUAUACCUAAGUCUUUUUCUAU